AACGAACGCUGGCGGCAUGCCUAACACAUGCAAGUCGAACGAUCCCUUCGGGGAUAGUGGCGCACGGGUGCGUAACGCGUGGGAACCUGCCCUUAGGUUCGGAAUAACUCAGAGAAAUUUGAGCUAAUACCGGAUAAUGUCUUCGGACCAAAGAUUUAUCGCCUUUGGAUGGGCCCGCGUUGGAUUAGCUAGUUGGUGGGGUAAAGGCCUACCAAGGCGACGAUCCAUAGCUGGUCUGAGAGGAUGAUCAGCCACACUGGGACUGAGACACGGCCCAGACUCCUACGGGAGGCAGCAGUGGGGAAUAUUGGACGAUGGGCGAAAGCCUGAUCCAGCAAUGCCGCGUGAGUGAUGAAGGCCUUAGGGUUGUAAAGCUCUUUUACCCGGGAUGAUAAUGACAGUACCGGGAGAAUAAGCCCCGGCUAACUCCGUG
rnacentral:rRNA from 1 species